rnacentral:rRNA from 1 species
UACGAAGGGGGCUAGCGUUGUUCGGAAUUACUGGGCGUAAAGCGCACGUAGGCGGAUAUUUAAGUCAGGGGUGAAAUCCCAGAGCUCAACUCUGGAACUGCCUUUGAUACUGGGUAUCUUGAGUAUGGAAGAGGUAAGUGGAAUUGCGAGUGUAGAGGUGAAAUUCGUAGAUAUUCGCCGAGGAACACCAGUGGCGAAGGCGGCUUACUGGUCCAUAACUG